UGGGGAAUAUUGCACAAUGGAGGGAACUCUGAUGCAGCGACGCCGCGUGAACGAAGAAGGCUUUCGAGUCGUAAAGUUCUUUUAUAUGGGAAGAUAAUGACGGUACCAUAAGAAAAAGCCCCGGCUAACUACGUGCCAGCAGCCGCGGUAAUACGUAGGGGGCUAGCGUUGUCCGGAAUCACUGGGCGUAAAGGGUUCGCAGGCGGAAAUGCAAGUCAGGUGUAAAAGGCAGUAGCUUAACUACUGUAAGCAUUUGAAACUGCAUAUCGUGAGAAGAGUAGAGGUAAGUGGAAUUUUUAGUGUAGCGGUGAAAUGCGUAGAUAUUAAAAAGAAUACCGGUGGCGAAGGCGGCUUACUGGGCUCAUUCUGACGCUGAGGAACGAAAGCGUGGGUAGCAAACAGG
rnacentral:rRNA from 1 species